CACGCCGUAAACGUUGGGCACUAGGUGUGGGGUUCUAUCGACGGAUUCCGUGCCGUAGCUAACGCAUUAAGUGCCCCGCCUGGGGAGUACGGCCGCAAGGCUAAAACUCAAAGGAAUUGACGGGGGCCCGCACAAGCGGCGGAGCAUGUGGCUUAAUUCGAUGCGACGCGAAGAACCUUACCUGGGUUUGACAUGUAGGGAAAAGCCGUAGAGAUGCGGUGUCCUUCGGGGCCUUACACAGGUGG
rnacentral:rRNA from 1 species